AGAGUUUGAUCCUGGCUCAGGAUGAACGCCGGCGGUGUGCCUAAUACAUGCAAGUCGUACGCACUGGCCCAACUGAUUGAUGGUGCUUGCACCUGAUUGACGUUGGAUCACCAGUGAGUGGCGGACGGGUGAGUAACACGUAGGUAACCUGCCCCGGAGCGGGGGAUAACAUUUGGAAACAGAUGCUAAUACCGCAUAACAACAAAAGCCACAUGGCUUUUGUUUGAAAGAUGGCUUUGGCUAUCACUCUGGGAUGGACCUGCGGUGCAUUAGCUAGUUGGUAAGGUAACGGCUUACCAAGGCGAUGAUGCAUAGCCGAGUUGAGAGACUGAUCGGCCACAAUGGAACUGAGACACGGUCCAUACUCCUACGGGAGGCAGCAGUAGGGAAUCUUCCACAAUGGGCGCAAGCCUGAUGGAGCAACACCGCGUGAGUGAAGAAGGGUUUCGGCUCGUAAAGCUCUGUUGUUGGAGAAGAACGUGCGUGAGAGUAACUGUUCACGCAGUGACGGUAUCCAACCAGAAAGUCACGGCUAACUACGUGCCAGCAGCCGCGGUAAUACGUAGGUGGCAAGCGUUAUCCGGAUUUAUUGGGCGUAAAGCGAGCGCAGGCGGUUGCUUAGGUCUGAUGUGAAAGCCUUCGGCUUAACCGAAGAAGUGCAUCGGAAACCGGGCGACUUGAGUGCAGAAGAGGACAGUGGAACUCCAUGUGUAGCGGUGGAAUGCGUAGAUAUAUGGAAGAACACCAGUGGCGAAGGCGGCUUUCUGGACUGAAACUGACGCUGAGGCACGAAAGCGUGGGGAGCGAACAGGAUUAGAUACCCUGGUAGUCCACGCCGUAAACGAUGAGUGCUAGGUGUCGGGGAGGAAUCCCCGGUGCCGCAGCUAACGCAAUAAGCACUCCACCUGGGGAGUACGACCGCAAGGUUGAAACUCAAAGGAAUUGACGGGGGCCCGCACAAGCGGUGGAGCAUGUGGUUUAAUUCGAAGCAACGCGAAGAACCUUACCAAGGCUUGACAUCCCGAUGACAGGCGUAGAGAUACGUUUUCCCUUCGGGGCAUUGGUGACAGGUGGUGCAUGGUUGUCGUCAGCUCGUGUCGUGAGAUGUUGGGUUAAGUCCCGCAACGAGCGCAACCCUUGUCAUUAGUUGCCAUCAUUAAGUUGGGCACUCUAAUGAGACUGCCGGUGACAAACCGGAGGAAGGUGGGGAUGACGUCAAGUCAUCAUGCCCCUUAUGACCUGGGCUACACACGUGCUACAAUGGACGGUACAACGAGAAGCGAACCUGCGAAGGCAAGCGGAUCUCUUAAAGCUGUUCUCAGUUCGGACUGUAGGCUGCAACUCGCCUACACGAAGCUGGAAUCGCUAGUAAUCGCGGAUCAGCACGCCGCGGUGAAUACGUUCCCGGGCCUUGUACACACCGCCCGUCA
rnacentral:rRNA from 1 species